GGCAGUAGUUAUCAACGAAAAUGGCUCCUCGUCCAAUGAGCGCUGUUGCAGUACUGCUGGUGCAUGUCUUUUUCAUGGUCACCACUUCAGAUGGGAGGCCUGACGACUCUCCCUGUCAGCUGAGGAAGAGCUGCACUCUACUGGAAACUAUGGAGGACCGGGAUGUUGACUUGGACUCCAUGAAGCACAUCUGUAACCUUGCAGCCAAGGCCCUGCUGAUACCUGACGACUGUGAGA